UGAGUGUGUCACUCAUAACAAAUUACUCUAAAAAAACUGUAAAUAAUUUAUUGCCAAAAAUAAUACCUCAACCAGUAUUUGAACUUGAAUAUCAUUAUUCCGUGAAAAUAAUAGGUAAAAUUUUACAUUUUUAAUUUUAAAGUAUUUUUUAAAUUCUAUUUUUUUUACAAAUUUUUCAAAAUUCUUAUAUUUUACGUGUAAUUAAUUAUCUAUUCAAAACAAAUUUAGGUUAUUUAGAAGGUUAUUUAAAGGAAAUUAUUCGGUUAAAAGAAUUUUUUAAACCUUAAGAAUAUUUUUAUAUUAUUAUUAUUAUAAACUUAUUCUUAGAAUUUUAUUGAAUCCUCAUAUUAAUCUUCAUGAAAAGAAUGGGGAACUUUAAUUCUGAAUUUUUUUUCUAAAAAUUUUAUAUAAAAAUAUAUAUUUUAAAAUACAUUAUAUUUUUAUAAAGUGAUCAAAGUCAUGUUUCUUUCUUUCGUUAAAAAUUUUUAUUAAGGAGGUUCAUGUACGACUCUCGUUAAUAGACACGAGUUUUUUAAACUGUUAUUUUACUUAUAUACAAAGCAUAUGAAUAAAUAAUAUGAAAAAAUAAAUUAAUUUUUAGAUACUAAUAUAACUUGAGUUCUGUUUAAACGUCAUUUAGACUUGACAACUUAACCUAUUUUUGAAGAAAAGAUUUUAGAUUAGUUUUAUAUGUAAAUUUACUAAACAGAAUAAUACAUAUUAAUAAGUUAAGAAACGAAAUUUACGAUUUAAGAAAGAAAAAGAGUUGUGUCAAAUAUCUGCAAAUUAGAUAUAUUAAACACACACAUACAUACCCACGCGCGCGUGCAACGCAGACCGCAAGAUCUGAUUUCACAUAUUUUACGAUUUUUAAAAUUAAAUAAUAAACUGUCAUCAUCACAUAUUGUUUGUGACCAUUAAAAAUGUGUGAUUUAUAUUUUUAUAAUCUAUAUUUUUGAUUUAUAUGUUCAAUAAUUAUUCAAAGAAAAGUUCAUAUUUCCGAAAAAUUAAACGACGAGCCCAUAUGAACUGUACUUAAAAAAUUUUGAAACUUUGACUUUUUCUAGCAUAUAUGUAUUCCUGUCCUCGUGUAUACGGCAAGCUUAUCUCAUAUUUCAUGAACUAAAUUUGCAAUACUUCGCUAUGAUGCAUGAAUCACUUUAAGAAUUUUUUCCAGUUUGAAAAAGUAAAAAAGACUUUUUAUUCUAA